rnacentral:rRNA from 1 species
AUGGAAUGGAGGUUGCCGCAUAGGCUUCAUCUUUUUAAUGUCUUUCGUGAAAAUAAGGAUUCCGAUAAUUGUGCCAAAGUGUUAGAAGAAGAAUGUAUUAAAAUAUUUGGCACUAAAUAUUUGAAUGAUGAGCAUGAUUGGAAUGUUGUUAGUAUGAAUUCUUUGAAUAUCCAUGAUGCUAAUGAUAUGCAAAGCUACAAGCUUUGGGAUGCUAUGGUUGAUGAAGAUGAUACUUUUAGUCCCCCAUGUUUUGAUGAGAAUAUUUAUUAUGAUGAAAGCAUGCGUCCUAUCUAUGAUGAUUAUUGUGAUGACAUGUAUGCUAUAAAUAAUAAUGAUAACCAUCAAACUUAUCAUCUUGAUUUUAAUUUUCAAUUGGAUUAUGCCUCGCAUGAUAGUUAUUUUGUUGAGUUUGCUCCCACUACUAUUCAUGAGAAGAAAUUUGCUUAUGUGGAGAGUAAUAGAAAUUCUAUGCUUAUGCAUCAUGAAAGGAGUGCUUUAUGUGAUAGUUAUAUUGUUGAAUUCAUGCAUGAUGCUACUGAAAAUUAUUAUGAGUGA